rnacentral:rRNA from 1 species
GAACGGGUGAGUAAUACAUCGGAACGUACCUUAUCGUGGGGGAUAACGCAGCGAAAGCUGUGCUAAUACCGCAUACGCCCUGAGGGGGAAAGCGGGGGAUCGAAAGACCUCGCGCGAUUAGAGCGGCCGAUGCUUGAUUAGCUUGUUGGUGGGGUAAAAGCCCACCAAGGCGACGAUCAAUAGCUGGUCUGAGAGGACGAUCAGCCACACUGGGACUGAGACACGGCCCAGACUCCUACGGGAGGCAGCAGUGGGGAAUUUUGGACAAUGGGGGCAACCCUGAUCCAGCAAUGCCGCGUGAGUGAAGAAGGCCUUCGGGUUGUAAAGCUCUUUUGUCAGGGAAGAAACACCGGCUCUAACACAGUCCGGGAAUGACGGUACCUGAAGAAUAAGCACCGGCUAAC